CCUGAUCCAGCAAUACCGCGUGAGUGAUGAAGGUCUUCGGAUUGUAAAGCUCUUUUAGUAGGGAAGAUAAUGACGGUACCUACAGAAAAAGCACCGGCAAACUUCGUGCCAGCAGCCGCGGUAAUACGAAGGGUGCUAGCGUUGUUCGGAAUCACUGGGCGUAAAGCGUACGUAGGCGGCUUAGCAAGUCGAUUGUGAAAUCCCCAGGCUUAACCUGGGAAUUGCAACCGAUACUGCUUAGCUAGAGUUUGGUGGGGGAUAGUGGAAUUCCUAGUGUAGGAGUGAAAUCCGUAGAUAUUAGGAGGAACACCGGUGGCGAAAGCGACUAUCUACGCCAACACUGACGCUAAGGUACGAAAGCGUGGGGAGCAAACAGGAUUAGAUACCCUGGUAGUCCACGCAGUAAACGAUGAGUGCUAGUUGUCGGGGUCUUGGACUUCGGUGGUGAAGCUAACGCGUUAAGCACUCCGCCUGGGGAGUACGGUCGCAAGACUAAAACUCAAAGGAAUUGACGGGGACCCGCACAAGCAGUGGAUCAUGUGGUUUAAUUCGAUGUUACACGAAAAACCUUACCAGCUCUUGACAUCCCGUUGACAGGUACAGAGAUGUACUUUUGGAGCAAUCCACAGCGG
rnacentral:rRNA from 1 species